GAUGAACGCUGGCGGCGUGCCUAAUACAUGCAAGUCGAGCGAACAGACGAGGAGCUUGCUCCUCUGACGUUAGCGGCGGACGGGUGAGUAACACGUGGAUAACCUACCUAUAAGACUGGGAUAACUUCGGGAAACCGGAGCUAAUACCGGAUAAUAUAUUGAACCGCAUGGUUCAAUAGUGAAAGACGGUUUUGCUGUCACUUAUAGAUGGAUCCGCGCCGCAUUAGCUAGUUGGUAAGGUAACGGCUUACCAAGGCAACGAUGCGUAGCCGACCUGAGAGGGUGAUCGGCCACACUUGAACUGAGACACGGUCCAGACUCCUAAGGGAGGCAGCAGUAGGGAAUCUUCCGCAAUGGGCGGAAGCCUGACGGAGCAACGCCGCGUGAGUGAUGAAGGUCUUCGGAUCGUAAAACUCUGUUAUUAGGGAAGAACAAAUGUGUAAGUAACUAUGCACGUCUUGACGGUACCUAAUCAGAAAGCCACGGCUAACUACGUG
rnacentral:rRNA from 1 species